AAUAUUGUUGGUCACAUUUCCUUUUUAGUUUGUCCCACUAUUCUUGGCUACUUUCUAAAAAUAGAAAUGUUUAUAGUAUUUAUUAAGUUUAAUUGAGUAAUUUAAUUCAAAUUUUUAAUUAAACUUAAAUCUUCUUUAAAUAAAAACACACACCAACACACACACUCACGCACACAUUGUUCUCUCUCUCUCGGCACUAUAUCGCCGCCGUUGACGGUGGUGCCGCCCGACAGGGCCGGCGUCUGCCGCCUCCAUUUCCCAUCUCUUUACGUCUCUCUCUCUCUCUCUCUCUCUACACCCCUCUCUCUCUCNUUAAAUAAAAACACACACACACACUUAAUCGCACACACUAACACACACUGUUCUCUCUAUCUCUCGGCACUCUGCCGCCGCCGUCGACGAUGGCGCCGCCCGACGGGCCGGCGUCUGCCGCCUCCAUUUCCCCCUCUCUCUCUCUCUCUCUCUCUAGACCCCUCUCUCUCUCUCGCUCCUCUUUCCCGUUCGCCAUCUCUGUUGCAAGAACAGGACGCACGCCGCCGCGUCCCUUUCGUCGGCCUCCUUCAUCCUCGCGGUAGAUCCGCCGCCGCCUCAAGACCACGACCGCCCCCAUGUCCUUCCCUCUCUUUCUCACUUUCAAUUGCACAGCAGCGGUGAUUUGGGGCCUAGGGCUUUCAGGUGGCUAUUUGGGGGUUUAAUGGAAGCGACAACGCCGCCGCACACUUGUUCCCUGAGAUUGUGCUGCUGCAAUUGCUGUGUUGCUGGGGACGGGAAGUGACCGACAGCUGCGGGCAGAUCCGGUGAACGGCGGCCGGAGCUGGAAGCGGUGGUCAAGGGCGGUGCGGCAUUGUGUUGUUCGUGUUAGUGUGUGCGAGGGUUUUCUGCAUUUUAGUUUUAUUAAUUUCUCUGAUUUUGAAUUGAUUUUUUGGUUUGAUGGAGAGAAUUAUUGAUUUGCAUGUUGACCGCCGGCGACGCCAUCUCCGGCGCCGGAGCUGCCGGCGCCGGCCUGAAUAUGGAACAGAUGCACGGAGAAGAUGAAUAUGGAGCACAAUUAAUUAACUCUUUAACUUUGGUUGAUUACACUUAAUUAAAACAUAAUCAUCAUUUUUCUCCGUGCCGAAAAGAAUGUGGCCAACAAUAUUGGGACGGAGGGAGUAUGUCAACUGUGCACAACAUUUAAUUUUACAACUGUAUAAAUAUAUUAAUAAAUUCAAUAAUUAAUUAAUUAAUUAAUUAAUUAGAUUAUUAUACAAAUGAUUAUUUAUUAAAAUGCAUUUUUAUUAAAAAGAAAAGANAAAACCUAAAACCACCCUUGAAAGUACAGAAGAGCAGACUAAGGGCCGAGCCUCAUUAAAAUUUUUUCACGGAAAAUCCAGUGGGAAAAACCAUGGAAAGAAAAAAGAGUACCCGUCUAGAGCAAAAAGAAAAGAAAGGGAAGAGCGGAAGGGAAAGUUUCCAGAACUCCGGUCUAACCAUCGUCCCCAAACAAUCCCGGCUCUUCCCUCCAGAAAAGUAACAAGACAAUGGCAGAAGGCCGGUGAGACGUCGUCGCCUAACUGCCAAAACACAAAAUCAAAGCUACACGGCCGGUUAUACGCCG
rnacentral:lncRNA from 1 species